rnacentral:lncRNA from 1 species
UGCGGGAGGUGGGGGAGAGGAGCUCGUUUUCACCUAGGGAAGACGAAUGACAGCCAUAGAAGAAGAGGCAUCAUCCUGUCUCUAAAUGGCAGGAGGACUUUGUAUAAGCCUUCCAGACAAUGGAAGCCAUGUGGGCGAAGACUCAGGAGCCGACCUCUGUCAUAGCAGCCUUUCAAACAUGAUGUAGAAGCGAUAUUCAUCUUACUGGGCCCGUAGACAUGAGAAGGAACCACGUACCAUCCAAAGGCCCGGGGAAGAAAUUACAGGGUCUCACUAUGUAGCCCUGUCCAUCCUGGAACUUGCUACAUAAACAUAAAAGACUGGCUUCAAACUCACAGAGAUUCACCUGACUGCCUCCAAACUGCUGGGAUUAGAGGCGUGUCCCCCAACAUGCCUGCUGAUAAAUUCGUCAGAAAGUAUAUCCUAAAGUGAACCAUUCAUCUCACCUGCUAUGCAAGACUUCAACUGUGAUGGUGACACAGAUGGAAAAUGGACUGGAGCUUUACUGACAGUCAGUGGUUCUAGGUCAGCCUCGGUAUGCAGGAUUCACAAAGUGAAGUUGGAGAAGGAGAACUGAAGUCUAAGAACUUGCAGGUGAACAGGGAAAAUUACAUUUGAAAGGAAGCGAAACCACACAAGCCCUAGAUGCACCAUUGGUAAAUUCCUCAACUUCCAAAGAAGGAUUUCACUGUGUGGACUCUUGUGGAUGGAACAGAG